rnacentral:rRNA from 1 species
GAUGAACGCUGGCGGCGUGCCUAAUACAUGCAAGUCGAGCGAACAGACGAGGAGCUUGCUCCUCUGACGUUAGCGGCGGACGUGUGAGUAACACGUGGAUAACCUACCUAUAAGACUGGGAUAACUUCGGGAAACCGGAGCUAAUACCGGAUAAUAUAUUGAACCGCAUGGUUCAAUAGUGAAAGACGGUUUUGCGGUCACUUAUAGAUGGAUCCGCGCCGCAUUAGCUAGUUGGUAAGGUAACGGCUUACCAAGGCGACGAUGCGUAGCCGACCUGAGAGGGUGAGCGGCCACGCUGGAACUGAGACACGGUCCAGACUCCUACGGGAGGCAGCAGUAGGGAAUUUUGCGCAAUGGGCGAAAGCCUGACGGAGCAACGCCGCGUGAGUGAUGAAGGUCUUCGGAUCGUAAAACUCUGUUAUUAGGGAAGAAAAAAUGUGUAAGUAACUAUGCACGUCUUGACGGUACCUAAUCAGAAAGCCACGGCUAACUACGUG